GCCGGGCGUGGUGGUGCAUGCCUGUAAUCCCAGCUACUCGGGAGGCUGAGGCGGGAGAAUGGUUUGAACCCAGGAGGUGGAGGUUGCAGUGAGCUGAGAUCGCGCCACUGCACUCCAGCCUGGGUAACAGAGUGAGACUCCAUCUCAA
ensembl:misc_RNA Metazoa_SRP Metazoan signal recognition particle RNA